GACGAACGCUGGCGGCGUGCCUAAUACAUGCAAGUAGAACGCUGAAGAGAGGAGCUUGCUCUUCUUGGAUGAGUUGCGAACGGGUGAGUAACGCGUAGGUAACCUGCCUUGUAGCGGGGGAUAACUAUUGGAAACGAUAGCUAAUACCGCAUAACAAUGGAUGACACAUGUCAUUUAUUUGAAAGGGGCAAUUGCUCCACUACAAGAUGGACCUGCGUUGUAUUAGCUAGUAGGUGAGGUAACGGCUCACCUAGGCGACGAUACAUAGCCGACCUGAGAGGGUGAUCGGCCACACUGGGACUGAGACACGGCCCAGACUCCUACGGGAGGCAGCAGUAGGGAAUCUUCGGCAAUGGGGGCAACCCUGACCGAGCAACGCCGCGUGAGUGAAGAAGGUUUUCGGAUCGUAAAGCUCUGUUGUAAGUCAAGAACGAGUGUGAGAGUGGAAAGUUCACACUGUGACGGUAGCUUACCAGAAAGGGACGGCUAACUACGUGCCAGCAGCCGCGGUAAUACGUAGGUCCCGAGCGUUGUCCGGAUUUAUUGGGCGUAAAGCGAGCGCAGGCGGUUUGAUAAGUCUGAAGUUAAAGGCUGUGGCUCAACCAUAGUUUGCUUUGGAAACUGUCAAACUUGAGUGCAGAAGGGGAGAGUGGAAUUCCAUGUGUAGCGGUGAAAUGCGUAGAUAUAUGGAGGAACACCGGUGGCGAAAGCGGCUCUCUGGUCUGUAACUGACGCUGAGGCUCGAAAGCGUGGGGAGCGAACAGGAUUAGAUACCCUGGUAGUCCACGCCGUAAACGAUGAGUGCUAGGUGUUGGAUCCUUUCCGGGACUCAGUGCCGCAGCUAACGCAUUAAGCACUCCGCCUGGGGAGUACGACCGCAAGGUUGAAACUCAAAGGAAUUGACGGGGGCCCGCACAAGCGGUGGAGCAUGUGGUUUAAUUCGAAGCAACGCGAAGAACCUUACCAGGUCUUGACAUCCCGAUGCUAUUUCUAGAGAUAGAAAGUUACUUCGGUACAUCGGUGACAGGUGGUGCAUGGUUGUCGUCAGCUCGUGUCGUGAGAUGUUGGGUUAAGUCCCGCAACGAGCGCAACCCCUAUUGUUAGUUGCCAUCAUUCAGUUGGGCACUCUAGCGAGACUGCCGGUAAUAAACCGGAGGAAGGUGGGGAUGACGUCAAAUCAUCAUGCCCCUUAUGACCUGGGCUACACACGUGCUACAAUGGUUGGUACAACGAGUUGCAAGUCGGUGACGGCAAGCUAAUCUCUUAAAGCCAAUCUCAGUUCGGAUUGUAGGCUGCAACUCGCCUACAUGAAGUCGGAAUCGCUAGUAAUCGCGGAUCAGCACGCCGCGGUGAAUACGUUCCCGGGCCU
rnacentral:rRNA from 1 species